CCCCCAGGAGUACGCGUACCCCCAUUUGAGAACCACUGCCUUAGGAGACUAGAUGUAAACAGAGGAAAGAGAGAGCGAGUGAGUUGCUGGUGACAAAGUCACAAUAAAACGUUGGAUGAUCAGCAUGGAAGGUGAUGUCAUCUGCAAAGGCGUCCAACCUAGCUUAAUCUCAGGGCUUGCUGCCCUUCUUGCCACCUACUAUGUGUUCAACUUGGAAUACCAAGAGGAAGGUCCUCGGACAUUGGAAUUUGUUCAAAGGGACCGAAGCACCAGUUUGACUCUAGGAUACAGAGAAGGUAGGUAAUGUGCAGGUAAAGAUAUGUUGACUGGGUCAAAGAAGGAAGCACCUGUUUGACCCCAGG